AAGAUAAAAGCAAAUGCUGAUAACUUGUCUGUUCUUCCCUCUGUGUAGACACUGGACGGUAAAGGAAACGAAUCCUUCAUAUAUUGUGUGAGCCCAGCAGGGAAACAGAAAUGCUUUCCAAGAAGAGAAAAGAAAGAAAAAAGUUGGCCUGUCAUUGGUGAAUUCCUAUGUCAUGGACAACAUGAAUUCUUCUGAACCUAGAAAGCUUUCAUUUGAAGCAGCUGACCUUUCAUUUCAACAUACCUGCAGGAAGCUCUAGAAAGUGUGGGCCUGCCACAUGCAAAACUACUUACUGGACAAUCUUUUCUUUGAAAAAAUAUUAUACACCAAAUCCCAGCAUGCUACUGAUAAAGAGUUCAGUGACAGCAAAAGCAAUUUUGGAAGAGAGACAGAAUGGGGAAGUGCUGCUGGGAAAAAUGGAAGGCUUCAGGACAUUUUCCGAGAUUCUUGUAGUAAAUGGAAACCAAUGGAUUCCUUCGAACAAUUCCACUGA
rnacentral:lncRNA from 1 species